rnacentral:lncRNA from 1 species
AAGGACCUAUACAGAAGUCCCACUCUCGUGUGCGACAUGGCACCUUUUUUCCACUGCGCAUGCGUUAGGUCCGCCAUCUUCCUAGCAAGUAAAACCGCAGCAAGCUAAUAGUAAAUUGUAUGGCGAAACACCGAGUCAAUGCAAGAAAACUUCAAUAAAACGCUCAAAUUUCAUCGAAUCGCCAUAAAAAUUAUAGGGGAUGAAAGAACACACAUUUCUAAAUGAUAAUAAGGUGUAAUGGAUGAAAUUCCGCGCAUUUAUACUGGAUAAAACGGGCGUGAGUGUCGAACAAUAAUCGAUUCAAUUAUAUGAAUUUCAAGCGUUUUCGAAUCAAGUAAGUUUUAUAACUGUCUUUGACAAUUUUAUGCAUGGGAAUGUUCAUUUAAUGUUUGAACCAUUACACUAGAUCUAACUGCUUUGUAUUUAGUCACGAGAAAAGUCUUUGUAAGUUAAUUUCUCUGCAAUUUGCAAUGACAUAUUUAAUAUAUUAAAUAUAUCACUGAUGGCACUGAAGACAAUGCCUGAGUUCUAGAGCUUUAUUAAGGAAACUCUAUUCUUGUAUUUAAAAUGGCAGCAGGCAACCAAAGCUAUUGUCGAUGUUUUUAAUAUUGUACUUGAAAUUUAUCUAUUUGUGUCUUGUAUAUAGCUGAUGGAACCCAAUGAGGCAAUGACCAGUAUGAAGAAUGGACUGAUUUCAGGGAAAGAAGAUAUUAUUUCAUUGGGCUGAUUGGCACCCCAAAUUAAUUUUUACAAUAUUGAGUCAGUUGGGUUCAUGGCUUGUUUGACAUUCAUAAAACAUGGCAUAUUUGUGUGCAACACUUCAGGACAAAGGAAAUGUGUAUUAUUGCAUUACAGAUUUAAUAUGAGAUCUAUACAUCUUGGUAGCCAAGUUGGUUGAAGGAUAGCCCAAAGACAUUUCAGUUAAUGGUAUGGUGGACAUAUCUGAAGAUGUUGUCCCCAAACCCAUAAUUCCCACAAGAAUGACCAGAUCAUCUGGUACCAACAUUUUAUCCUUCCACCCACAGAAAGCAGGACUUUGUCUAGCACUUUCCAGAGCUUGUAUUUCUCAUGUGUAACAAACUGUCUUCCAGCAGACUUAAGAGAACCUAACACAUUCUUAAAGUACAAAUACAUUUAAGAGAUUGUUAGGAGACUAUUACUCGAAAGCCCUGCAUUGAUGCAGAGGAUGUAAGAACAUGGAAAUCUGUGUUUAAACUAUAAAGGUUGUCGACGUUUGAACUAUGUUAUUAACUGCUGUUUCUAGACGUUUGUUGUUAAAAGGCCCACAGUAAUUGAUUUUAACUGUUGUGGUGCUUUCACAGCAAUUGUCAUUAGUAUACAGUAGUAUUAUAUAUUUAUAAUGUAAUGUAUGUAUUGUAUCCAUGUUGUUAUUAAUAUUCAGGGUCGAUUUACUGGGGGGGGGUGCACCCCCUAGCCCUGGCCAGAGGGGGUGCACCCCCCUAGCCCUGGCCAGAGGGGGUGCAGGGGGUUCUGCUAUAUUUCAUGAUAAAACAAAAAAUUAUUAGAGACAAAAUGAGAUACAGUAAUUUGAGUAAUAACAUGAUGAUAAGCGAACUGUGAACAAUUACAAUUCAAAUACAGUAGUCAAGCAAGACUUUGCAGUAGCGAAGCAAGUUGAUGGGUAGGCAGCACACAUCACCGACACAACUCGGCACCAGAGCUGGCAGAGCACCCCACCACCAGAUCAUGCUGGAUCCACCCCUAGUAAUAUUAAUAUUAUUAUAUAUGGUGAAGGUUGAAUAAAUAUAAAUUUUAUGACCAUUUUGGAUGUACAGAUGUAACAGACAUACCACUGAUGAAUAUAUCUGUCACCUGUCAACAUUUGUAAUAAUUUACUAUCUUAACAGAAAGCAAGUUUUUAUUGGAAUCAUACAUCAUGAACAAAACUGUUCACUUCCAUUAUGCCAGA